rnacentral:rRNA from 1 species
UACGUAGGCAGCGAGCGUUGUUCGGAGUUACUGGGCGUAAAGCGUGCGUAGGCGGUGUUCCAAGUCUGUUGUGAAAUCUCCCGGCUUAACUGGGAGGGUGCGGCGGAAACUGGAACGCUGGAGUAUGGGAGAGGUAAGCGGAAUUCCCGGUGUAGUGGUGGAAUGCGUAGAUAUCGGGAGGAACAUCAGUGGCGAAAGCGGCACCCUGGCACUUGCCUGACGCUCAUGUGCGAAAGCGUGGGGAGCGAACCGG